GUCGAACGCUGGCGGCGUGUCUAAGGCAUGCAAGUCGAACGAACACAUUUGCGAUUACAUCAAGAUAGUGUAAGUGGCAAACGGGAGAGUAACACAUUGGUAACUCACCCUGAACUCGUGAAUAACCUGGCGAAAGCCGGACUAAUACACGAUAUCGAUGAGGGGACAUAUGUCAUUCUCAUUAAAAGUUCCGACGGUUCAGGAGAGGCCUAUGCCCUAUCAGCUAGUUGGCGAGGUAAUAGCUCACCAAGGCGACGACGGGUACCGGGCGUGAGAGCGCGACCCGGCUCACUGGGACUGAGACACUGCCCAGACACCUACGGGUGGCUGCAGUCGAGAAUCUUCCGCAAUGCACGAAAGUGUGACGGAGCGACGCCG
rnacentral:rRNA from 1 species